rnacentral:rRNA from 1 species
UACGUAGGGUGCGAGCGUUAAUCGGAAUUACUGGGCGUAAAGUGUGCGCAGGCGGCCGAGCAAGUCGAGUGUGAAAGCCCCGGGCUUAACUUGGGAAUUGCGCUCGAAACUACUUGGCUGGAGUGUGGCAGAGGAAGGUGGAAUUCCAGGUGUAGCGGUGAAAUGCGUAGAGAUCUGGGGGAACACCGAUGGCGAAGGCAGCCUUCUGGGCCAACACUGACGCUCAUGCACGAAAGCGUGGGGAGCAAACAGG